rnacentral:tRNA from 1 species
GGGCGAUUAGCUCAGCUGGGAGAGCGUCCGCCUUACAAGCGGAAGGUCGGCGGUUCGAGCCCGUCAUCGCCCACCA